rnacentral:rRNA from 1 species
UGGGGAAUAUUGGACAAUGGGCGAAAGCCUGAUCCAGCCAUGCCGCGUGAGUGAUGAAGGCCCUAGGGUUGUAAAGCUCUUUUGUGCGGGAAGAUAAUGACGGUACCGCAAGAAUAAGCCCCGGCUAACUUCGUGCCAGCAGCCGCGGUAAUACGAAGGGGGCUAGCGUUGCUCGGAAUCACUGGGCGUAAAGGGUGCGUAGGCGGGUUUCUAAGUCAGAGGUGAAAGCCUGGAGCUCAACUCCAGAACUGCCUUUGAUACUGGAAGUCUUGAGUUCGGGAGAGGUGAGUGGAACUGCGAGUGUAGAGGUGAAAUUCGUAGAUAUUCGCAAGAACACCUGUGUCGAAGGCGGCUCACUGGCCCGAUACUGACGCUGAGGCACGAAAGCGUGGGGAGCAAACA